GGCGCCUAAUACGUGUCAACUGUUGACGUUACUCGCAGAAGAAGCACCGGCUAACUCCGUGCCAGCAGCCGCGGUAAUACGGAGGGUGCAAGCGUUAAUCGGAAUUACUGGGCGUAAAGCGCACGCAGGCGGUUGGAUAAGUUAGAUGUGAAAGCCCCGGGCUCAACCUGGGAAUUGCAUUUAAAACUGUCCAGCUAGAGUCUUGUAGAGGGGGGUAGAAUUCCAGGUGUAGCGGUGAAAUGCGUAGAGAUCUGGAGGAAUACCGGUGCCGAAGGCGGCCCCCUGGACA
rnacentral:rRNA from 1 species